GUCGGUGCUCCAAUCCGGUGGAGGGGUGGCGGCGGAGGUGCAGGCCCAAAACACUACCCAGAAGGAGGCGCCCCGGAUGAGCAACACACUCGUGUUCCUCCCGCUCAUGGAGGACGCGCUCUCGGUCGCCGGCGGUUUCGUUCUGUCUAUGGCGAUGGGUUGCCUCUUCUUCUCCAUUCGUGUGGUCAGGUUUGUUCUUCUUCCAUCAUGUUCCUUCUUUUGUCUCGUCACAAGCACAUGCCACGGAGGCUAAACUCUUUUGGCAACCGAUUGAAAAAACAGCUGGAAGAGAGCUUCAUUAGAUCUGUCUACUCCUGUAUUUUCAGUUACCUGUGUGACUGGAAAAGUACACUAUAUGUUACUAUGCUAUAUUUCUUAAGUUAUGUAUAGAACCUCUACCUAUAUACUUGGAUCACCGGAUUGUUCAAUUCUUUUUAUGCAACAAAACUACAGAAUUAGUACUUAUCAUUGCAGUGUCGUGUUCUGUGUAUACCAAUAUCUCUACCACUAUAAUACACCAGUCUUGAAUUUGGAUUCACCACCCCACUUGUUUUUUAGUCCGCUUGGGUACUGAUCACCUGAACUAAUGAACUAAUAGCCAAGAUACAGUGCAGAGAGUAAACUUGCCGGGUGAUACAUGAGAGCAUUUAUAUAAUGGUUGGUUCUAUCAAGUUUUUUACCGAUUUAUACUGAAUUAAACAUGUUGAUAUGGCGAUAGGGUCUCCAGUGUACAUGAUUAUCGAUUAAAUUUGUAUAUAAACUUCUUCCAGUUUGUUCAAUUGUAAGCCUAGUGAUGUAACAAUGAACGCUAAUUGUAUUGUUCUGCUCUUGGUUAGUACAAGAAAUGCUUGAGUUGUCAAUCAGGAAGAACUUCUAUUCUUCAAGCAAGAACUCUAGACUGGGCUUUCAAAUAAGUUGGACUGUAGAUAAUGUCCAGAUUUGUGAUCAUUGAUGCUUGUGCUUUCUUCUUCAUGUUCUGGUGAGGAAGAAGGGAAAACGCUGGAGCCAAUAGAUGUUUAGUGGGACUAUGUUCUCAAUUCACAAAGCUAAAGGAAGCACAUGCCAUCUAUCUCUCAUAUUGGUUAUUUGGAUCCUGAGAAAUCACCAUGCCUAGCUUAAAUUUAUUGACAUUAGCUUGUUCUGAUAAAAAAAUCAAUGCAAGGAAGGAAACAGAAUAUGGGGAUUGCAACUAUAGAAUGGUGAUUAGAUAUUCUUGAUAGAGAGGCAUAGGUUUCUAAUGUCAGUCUUUGAUAGAGUUCACAUAUGGCUGCAGUUUUUGCGACUACGGAAUUGUGAUAGGAUAUUCUUGAGUAUUUAGUUCUUCAGUACUGUUAAUUGAACAUACACUGGAAGUCAAAUUUCCAGGUAUGUACUAACCUUCCAGUAAUCAGGAGUAUGCAGUUAUGUAUUAAUACCUAUUGGAAACUCCUAUCUUACUGAUGACUCUCCCUUAUAGGUAAAUCUGAUCAAGACUACUAGAUGAUCCAAAUGGAGGAUUAUUUCACUUUCAGACCCACUUUGUAAUUGUACAUCAUUGUCUUACCACAGAAGUUUAGAUGGACAUAGUAUCCAGGAUACCAACUAUUUGGAACUCCUCUCUACAAAAAAAGGCUUAAGGGGAUUGGUAACUGGAGUUCAGACCAUAAAAUUAUUCCAAUUCCCAUGCCUACAGUAUUGUAUACACAGAUUUCAGAGAGGAAUAGGUACCACUUUUUCCUCAACAUUUAGUUAUCCAUACAAGAGUAAUUAAUGCCUAUGCUAAGUUGUUAUUUUUUUAUACAUGAUUUUUUUAUCAUAGAUGGAUAGAUGAGCAAUGGACCAUUAAAGUUGCUUUCAUUGGUUCUCUUAGGGACCAUUGCAAAAGGUGUUUUUGUUUGGAUAAAGGUCAUCGAGCUAAGGUAAGCUCUCCAUAGACUGGAACAUUAUCAUGUCCUCGUCGGCGAGGAAGCCAGGUGACCUUCUCAUCCAAUGUCUUUCCCUCCUUAUCCCUUUCUCCUAUCGCAGUUCCCUCUCAAUGCGUUAGUUUCUUUCGUCGUCGCUAGGUUCCCAUGGCACUCUGCCACGCUCGCUUCAGUAGCUCGUUGAUUAAGAGGUAUGAGUGGGUGGCCAGCUGCAAUGUCUAGAUGGAAGACCUCUCCUGUUCAGAUUUAUUUUGGGUUCUUGAUUCCUUUUUCCCAAUGGUUAUAUGUAAUUAGUACAACAUUAGGAAAAAAUUAUACCAUGUUUGUGGCUGGAUGCAUUGAGUUGUUGGAAUUGUUGUAUUAGAAGUGCACUCUUGAUUGCCUUACCAAUGGUCCAAAAGAAUUGCACAACCGGUGAAAUUGACCGUGGUUUUAAUGUACUUUUGUUACAAUAUAGUUUUUUUAGGAGCAAAGGACAGUUGGAGAGAUCUCCCACUGACUUGUAACUAUAAAAAGAAGGACGUCAGUGACAUUUACAAUAUACUAGAGUAUAUUUCAUUAUUUCCCAGUUUGGACAUACUUCUAUUGGUUUGCUUCUCAUAAAUAUUAUCAUGCAUGUAUCAGCUGGUGAUUGUGUGAUAGUGGCGUGCUCUCAUAAAUAUUAUGUGUUUCCAGGAAGAUAAAUCCUUUCCGAAUAGGGACUAGGUUGGUUACUUCUUCUGUAAUUAUAUGUUUUAGUGAUAGCUGCUUGAUUAAAUGGUUCCAUCUGUUUCUUAUUCUUGUCAUCUAACGUAGAUAAAUAGAUUAUAUGCUUUUGUGCUGAAUUACGUGGAAGGUCGAGAUGACCGCACAUACGAAUUUAUUUAUGUUUAUUAUCGCAUGGAUGCCUACUGACCCAAAAUAUUUUUGUUUAAAAUGUUUUCCUAUGAAGUUUCUAUACUAUAUAAGAAAGUUGGUCUCAACUAUUUGAGGUCAUAUUCUAUUUUAAAGAUUACUCAUAUAGUUUCAUAGCUGAUUCAGUUGCAUUCGUUGAGAACAGGUGUUUGUAUCAAUCUUGUUUUUCAGGUUACUUGUAUUACAUAUUGAUGGAUUUCUUGCAGGCUUGUACGCCAGAUUUUAUUUCAACUGAAAGUAUUCUUUUCUUUGACAAGAGGGUAUGUAUUCUGGACAAAUUCUGUAAUUAUAUGUUUCCAGUGAUAGCUGUUAGAUUAAAUGAUUGGUCCUAUCCAUGUGUAAUCAUGUAUUAUUUGGGAUGAGACUUGUAUUUUUAGUCAGUAUAAUUUUGUAAUGGAUUGAACAUAUUCCUGUAAUUUUGAACUGUGAAACACAUAGAAGUUAGUUAAUUUUGGUAGUAUUUGUGGCUUGUUGUGCUCACCCCAGAGGCAUCGCAGAAGCUUUCCCAUGUUUUGAACUGAUGUCAUCCUUGCUACGACAAUUCUUGAUCUUGGGCCACACCAGAUUCAUACGUUUUGUGAAUCG
rnacentral:lncRNA from 1 species